UGUGUGUGUGUGUGUGUGUGUGUGUGUGUGUGUGUGUGUGUGUGUGUGUGUGUGUGUGUGUGUGUGUGUGUGUGUGUGUGUGUGUGUGUGUCUCACCGGGUGCAUUGACAGCAACUGAGUUUUUUUGAUCAAUAGUUUGUCCUUGUGUCUCAAAGGAAAGAUUUCCACAUCUUAACUCUACUUUACUCUCCAGUGCUCCUUAAAAGUUGCCAGAUCUACAAUCUACUGCACCGUAACAUCAGUAAAACACAAGUUCAUCCCACAGAUUAUUAUAAUUAAUCACAUCUGGCAACUUUAUGGUGAAACAGACUACAUGCACAACUAACCAUUUAUCACAUUCAACAAUGCUGCCAAAGCUCCUGGGGAUAUGUGCGGUUUCUGGCAUGAGCAGUACUGGAGAUGGCAUCUGUAAGGGAACCGGAGCACCUGGAGGAAACCCACGCAGACACUAGGAGAACACGCAAACUCCACACAGAAAGAACCCGUACCGUUCCACCUGGGAAUCGAACCUUGCUGUGAGGUGACAGUGCUACCCACCGUGCCGACAAUAAAAAGUCUUCAAGAGUAACUAGCCAAAGGACAGCCUUAACAGCGAAAUCUGCAAGUGGCAGAGGACAACUGGAAGAUUGGCGGUUCAAAUCCAGGCUCUGUUAUGCAGCCACUGUUGGGUCCUUGAGAAAGGCCCUUAACCCUCUCUGCUCCAGGGGCGCCGUACGAUUGCUGACCCUGCACUCUGACCCCAGCUUCCAUACAAGCUGGGAUAUGCGAAGAAAGAAUUUCAUUGUACUGUACACCUGUAUAUGUAUAAAUGACAAAUAAAGUAUAUCUUCUAUA